rnacentral:lncRNA from 1 species
CAUAUUUAUUCAGUAAAUAUUUUCUAAAUAGAAGCAACACUCCCCAACAGCUCUCAGGGGCAAGGCUGCGGUUGUAUGACUAAUUAAAUGGAACUUGCAAAACGUUGAAAAAGGCGAAAUCAAAGUGAAAUGUGCAUCACUCGUAGACGAUUUUGACUGCCAAGAUGCAUGACCCUAAAAAACGGGCAGAAGCAAUAGCAGAUCUCUGGAAUAGAAUGCAAUAUCAACGGGAAAAAGACGGAUAUCCACCGACCACUUAUAAGUCUAAGAUUGCUGGUAGCACCGCUGAUAGUGUAAGUAGAGCUGCUCCAACUACUGAUGAUACUACAGCUCCUGCUGUUGCUACGACAGUUGCUGCUCCUGACACUUCCACAGCUGCUCCAUAGUUGAAGAUGAUCCGAUCUGCAGAACAUAACCUAACCAAAUAAAUGC